rnacentral:rRNA from 1 species
GAUGAACGCUGGCGGCGUGCCUAAUACAUGCAAGUCGAGCGAACGGACGAGAAGCUUGCUUCUCUGACGUUAGCGGCGGACGGGUGAGUAACACGUGGAUAACCUACCUAUAAGACUGGGAUAACUUCGGGAAACCGGAGCUAAUACCGGAUAAUAUUUUGAACCGCAUGGUUCAAAAGUGAAAGACGGUCUUGCUGUCACUUAUAGAUGGAUCCGCGCUGCAUUAGCUAGUUGGUAAGGUAACGGCUUACCAAGGCAACGAUGCAUAGCCGACCUGAGAGGGUGAUCGGCCACACUGGAACUGAGACACGGUCCAGACUCCUACGGGAGGCAGCAGUAGGGAAUCUUCCGCAAUGGGCGAAAGCCUGACGGAGCAACGCCGCGUGAGUGAUGAAGGUCUUCGGAUCGUAAAACUCUGUUAUUAGGGAAGAACAUAUGUGUAAGUAACUGUGCACAUCUUGACGGUACCUAAUCAGAAAGCCACGGCUAACUACGUGCCAGCAGCCGCGGUAAUACGUAGGUGGCAAGCGUUAUCCGGAAUUAUUGGGCGUAAAGCGCGCGUAGGCGGUUUUUUAAGUCUGAUGUGAAAGCCCACGGCUCAACCGUGGAGGGUCAUUGGAAGCUGGAAAACUUGAGUGCAGAAGAGGAAAGUGGAAUUCCAUGUGUAGCGGUGAAAUGCGCAGAGAUAUGGAGGAACACCAGUGGCGAAGGCGACUUUCUGGUCUGUAACUGACGCUGAUGUGCGAAAGCGUGGGGAUCAAACAGGAUUAGAUACCCUGGUAGUCCACGCCGUAAACGAUGAGUGCUAAGUGUUAGGGGGUUUCCGCCCCUUAGUGCUGCAGCUAACGCAUUAAGCACUCCGCCUGGGGAGUACGACCGCAAGGUUGAAACUCAAAGGAAUUGACGGGGACCCGCACAAGCGGUGGAGCAUGUGGUUUAAUUCGAAGCAACGCGAAGAACCUUACCAAAUCUUGACAUCCUUUGACAACUCUAGAGAUAGAGCCUUCCCCUUCGGGGGACAAAGUGACAGGUGGUGCAUGGUUGUCGUCAGCUCGUGUCGUGAGAUGUUGGGUUAAGUCCCGCAACGAGCGCAACCCUUAAGCUUAGUUGCCAUCAUUAAGUUGGGCACUCUAAGUUGACUGCCGGUGACAAACCGGAGGAAGGUGGGGAUGACGUCAAAUCAUCAUGCCCCUUAUGAUUUGGGCUACACACGUGCUACAAUGGACAAUACAAAGGGCAGCGAAACCGCGAGGUCAAGCAAAUCCCAUAAAGUUGUUCUCAGUUCGGAUUGUAGUCUGCAACUCGACUACAUGAAGCUGGAAUCGCUAGUAACCGUAGAUCAGCAUGCUACGGUGAAUACGUUCCCGGGUCU